UACGAAGGGGACUAGCGUUGUUCGGAAUUACUGGGCGUAAAGCGCACGUAGGCGGACUGUCAAGUCAGGGGUGAAAUCCCGGGGCUCAACCUCGGAACUGCCGCUGAUACUGUCAGUCUAGAGUCCGGAAGAGGUGGGUGGAAUUCCUAGUGUAGAGGUGAAAUUCGCAGAUAUUAGGAAGAACACCGGUGGCGAAGGCGGCCCACUGGUCCGGAACUGACGCUGAGGUGUGAAAGCGUGGGGAGCAAACAGG
rnacentral:rRNA from 1 species